rnacentral:rRNA from 1 species
AAUGGGUCAGCGACUUAUAUUCUGUAGCAAGGUUAACCGAAUAGGGGAGCCGAAGGGAAACCGAGUCUUAACUGGGCGUUAAGUUGCAGGGUAUAGACCCGAAACCCGGUGAUCUAGCCAUGGGCAGGUUGAAGGUUGGGUAACACUAACUGGAGGACCGAACCGACUAAUGUUGAAAAAUUAGCGGAUGACUUGUGGCUGGGGGUGAAAGGCCAAUCAAACCGGGAGAUAGCUGGUUCUCCCCGAAAGCUAUUUAGGUAGCGCCUCGUGAAUUCAUCUCCGGGGGUAGAGCACUGUUUCGGCAAGGGGGUCAUCCCGACUUACCAACCCGAUGCAAACUGCGAAUACCGGAGAAUGUUAUCACGGGAGACACACGGCGGGUGCUAACGUCCGUCGUGAAGAGGGAAACAACCCAGACCGCCAGCUAAGGUCCCAAAGUCAUGGUUAAGUGGGAAACGAUGUGGGAAGGCCCAGACAGCCAGGAUGUUGGCUUAGAAGCAGCCAUCAUUUAAAGAAAGCGUAAUAGCUCACUGGUCGAGUCGGCCUGCGCGGAAGAUGUAACGGGGCUAAACCAUGCACCGAAGCUGCGGCAGCGACACUAUGUGUUGUUGGGUAGGGGAGCGUUCUGUAAGCCUGUGAAGGUGUACUGUGAGGUAUGCUGGAGGUAUCAGAAGUGCGAAUGCUGACAUAAGUAACGAUAAAGCGGGUGAAAAGCCCGCUCGCCGGAAGACCAAGGGUUCCUGUCCAACGUUAAUCGGGGCAGGGUGAGUCGACCCCUAAGGCGAGGCCGAAAGGCGUAGUCGAUGGGAAACAGGUUAAUAUUCCUGUACUUGGUGUUACUGCGAAGGGGGGACGGAGAAGGCUAUGUUGGCCGGGCGACGGUUGUCCCGGUUUAAGCGUGUAGGCUGGU